GUUCUUAUGGCAUAAUAUAAUUGCCUAGCAUUCAGUGUUUUCAACGCUUAUGAAUUUUAGCAGUUUUUUUUUUAAUUUUGUUCAACAGAAGACUACCAAGGAUGAAUACACUUCAAAGGAAUGCAAAAAGUCAGUGAGGAGUACCGGGUUCCCAUUACCACUCCACUUUGAUUUGAAGAGGUUUCACCUAAGGAAAUCACUGGAGCUGAUUCCAAUGGACGAGGGGGCGAUAUGGUUAGACCUAUGCUAAGGAAUAUGACUUUUACCACAGAGUCGUGGAUGGAUUAAAGUGGGAAGAGACUUGAAUCAAGGAGGACAACCACCAGGCUGUUAGAAUUCAAUAGUCUAUGUAUGAGUGGUAAGUGUAUUGAUUUAGAAUCUUGACCCCUGAACUACAUCUCCCACAAUUCCCUUUCCUGUUGUGCAUCAUUUUAU
rnacentral:lncRNA from 1 species